rnacentral:lncRNA from 1 species
GCGAAAAUCAUAUAAAAACAAACCUAGGAGACCUGAAAUUGAUGAAUUGAAAACCAGAAGGAUACAAUUGAUCAAACAUCAAGGAGAGGAUUUUAUUGGUACGUUAUUUCAAUGGUACACACAGACAAACAUUUAACUUAAAAGGGUUUCAUUACUUUGCCACCAAUUAAAGUGCAAGAAAAGGACAUUUUUUUACAAUCGCGAGAUUCGCGCGCAAAGUUUCAUCGGCUUCAACCAUCAACGCUCGAACAGGAUCACCGGAUGUAGUAGUGCGAGUUGCAUCUCAGCACCGUGCGCGCGACCACCNNN